rnacentral:lncRNA from 1 species
UUAGAGAGAGGUUAGGGGUUAGAGAGAGGUUAGGGGUUAGAGAGAGGUUAGGGGUUAGAGAGAGGUUAGAGGUUAGAGAGAGGUUAGGGGUUAGAGAGAGGUUAGAGGUUAGAGGUUAGAGAGAGGUUAGAGAGAGGUUAGAGGUUAGAGAGAGGUUAGGGGUUAGAGAGAGGUUAGGGGUUAGGGAGAGGUUAGGGGUUAGAGUGAGGUUAGGGGUUAGAGAGAGGUUAGAGGUUAGAGAGAGGUUAGGGGUUAGAGAGAGGUUAGAGGUUAGGGAGAGGUUAGGGGUUAGAGUGAGGUUAG